rnacentral:rRNA from 1 species
GUGCAGCAGGCGCGAAACCUCCGCAAUACACGAAAGUGUGACGGGGCCAUCCCGAGUGCCGUCCGCUGAGGACGGCUUUUCCCCAGUGUACAUAGCUGGGGGAAUAAGGAGAGGGGCAAGCCUGGUGUCAGCCGCCGCGGUAAUACCAGCUCUCCGAGUGGUGGGGACGCUUAUUGGGCCUAAAGCAUCCGUAGCCGGCUGGGCAAGUCCUCCGUUAAAUCCAACGAUUCAAUCGUUGGGCUGCGGGGGAUACUGUCCAGCUUGGGGGCGGGAGAGGGCCGACGGUAUUCCCGGGGUAGGGGUGGAAAUCCGUAAUAAGUCCCGGGAGGACCACCGAGUGGCGAAGGCUGUCGGCUAGAACGCGCCCGACGGUGAGGGAUGGAAAGCAGGGGGAGCGGAACCGGAUUAGAUACCCCGGUAGU